UUCAGCAUGUCAGGAUGUAGCCUGGCAGCUUUAAAGGACUUUAACGGUUUAGGACUAGCCCGAGAGGACUAAGCCAUUUUCUGUGUCAAGUGCAUCUCAGGAAAAAGACUGUCAGUGGGAAGCUGUGAUUUGUGGUUUACAUGCACGGAAGGGCUUGCUGGGAACGUUGAAACUUUCCAAACAUGCACGACUUUCUCUCCUCAACGUUCAAGUCCACCCACUCAUCGAGUGGGAGCCUCGUAACACAGAUAUAGAGAUUUGAAGCUUUUGAUAGAGAACAUGUGCUGCUGGUGGCAAAGUGAUGGACUGGACUGGACUAAGAUCCUGCACUAAGGAUUCCUCCCUGCCAUUUUCAGAAAUAAUUUGAAGUAAUCAACACAACCUCUGCUUACUAAGCAACAGGAAGACUUCAUUUUUUUUACUUCUGUGAUUUCCUUCAUAUGUUUGUUUGUUUGUUUAUUUUAAUAAUUAAAUAAUGCAUACAAAAUUUACAAUCUUGGUACUGUCAAUUGCAAUGCUGAAACCGAUUGAUUUUACUCAACUGAAGGUUUUCAGCCCAACCUUUGAACAUGUAGCACUAAGUCUGUUCACAUCACUGAUAUGUAGUCUUCCUGGGGUUCCAAAAUAUCCAGCAAAAUUUGUAAUAGCAGUGCAGACAUGUGAAUGGUUAAUUCAAAUCUGCAGAAAACAAAUUUGCUUUUCUCAGUUGUAAUUUGAAAAUGUUACAGACCAUAUAUUAAAAACUAGUUGCCAAUACCUAUUUGGUUUUAGUC